AUGAAAUUCUAUUAUACCAAAGGGACUCGGUAAAGGCGAAGGCAGCCCUCUAUGUAAAAACUGACGUUGAAGGACGAAGGCACAGAGCACAAACAGGAUUAGAUACCCAAGUAGUCUUUGCAGUAAAUGAUGAAUGUCAUAGGUUAGAUUAAGCUUUAAUUAAUUAGUUUAUCAGUAAUGAACUAACUAUUAAACAAUAUUUAGUCUAUAAAUGAAAGUGUAAGCAUUCCACCUCAAGAGUAAUGUGGCAACGCAGGAACUGAAAUCACUAGACCGUUUCUGACACCAGUAGUGAAGUAUGUUGUUUAAUUCGAUGAUCCACGAAAAACCUUACCACAAUUUGAAUAUUUUACAGGAGUUGCACGGCUGUUUUCAGUUAAUGUUGUGAAACUGUGGUUUCCAUGAAAUUAACGCAAUCCCUGGCUUUAUUUUUUUUUUAUUACGAUAAAGCAUUUGAUCCAGGAUUUGGAAAGAAAAAGGGGACAAAGACAAGUCAUCAUGGCCUUGAUAUUGUGGGCUAUAGACGUGCCACAUAUUCCUACACAAAGAGAUGCAAAAAUGUGAAUUUAAGCUAAUCUCUAAAAAUAGGAUAUAAAUUUUAAGGAUUAUAGUCUGAAACUCGACUAUAUGAAUAAGUAAUUACUAGUAAUCGUGAAUCACCAUGUCACGGUGAAUUUACCUUGGAUUGGUACUAACCACUCGUCACAUGCUGAAAAGAGCAUGCGCAAUAAGUUUGCUUUCUUGAUGAUUAGUAAAAAGAAUAAGCAGGUUCUAUAUUCUAUUAUUAAG
rnacentral:rRNA from 1 species